rnacentral:rRNA from 1 species
UCGUAACAAGGUUUCCGUAGGUGAGCCUGCGGAAGGAUCAUU